GACGAACGCUGGCGGCGUGCUUAACACAUGCAAGUCGAACGGUAAGGCCCUUCGGGGUACACGAGUGGCGAACGGGUGAGUAACACGUGGGUGAUCUGCCCUGCACUUCGGGAUAAGCCUGGGAAACUGGGUCUAAUACCGGAUAGGACCACUGCCUGCAUGGGUGGUGGUGGAAAGCUUUUGCGGUGUGGGAUGGGCCCGCGGCCUAUGAGCUUGUUGGUGGGGUGAUGGCCUACCAAGGCGACGACGGGUAGCCGGCCUGGGAGGGUGACCGGCCACACUGGGACUGGGGUACGGCCCAGACUCCUACGGGAGGCAGCAGUGGGGAAUAUUGCACAAUGGGCGCAAGCCUGAUGCAGCGACGCCGCGUGAGGGAUGACGGCCUUCGGGUUGUAAACCUCUUUCAGCACCGACGAAGCGCAAGUGACGGUAGGUGCAGAAGAAGGACCGGCCAACUACGUGCCAGCCGCCGCAGUAA
rnacentral:rRNA from 1 species